rnacentral:rRNA from 1 species
AUUGAACGCUGGCGGCAGGCCUAACACAUGCAAGUCGAACGGUAACAGGAAGACGCUUGCUUCUUUGCUGACGAGUGGCGGACGGGUGAGUAAUGUCUGGGAAACUGCCUGAUGGAGGGGGAUAACUACUGGAAACGGUAGCUAAUACCGCAUAACGUCGCACGACCAAAGAGGGGGACCUUCGGGCCUCUUGCCAUCGGAUAUGCCCAGAUGGGAUUAGCUAGUAGGUGGGGUAACGGCUCACCUAGGCGACGAUCCCUAGCUGGUCUGAGAGGAUGACCAGCCACACUGGAACUGAGACACGGUCCAGACUCCUACGGGAGGCAGCAGUGGGGAAUAUUGCACAAUGGGCGCAAGCCUGAUGCAGCCAUGCCGCGUGUAUGAAGAAGGCCUUCGGGUUGUAAAGUACUUUCAGCGGGGAGGAAGGGAGUAAAGUUAAUACCUUUGCUCAUUGACGUUACCCGCAGAAGAAGCACCGGCUAACUCCGUG